GACCCAGUUUUGAACAAACAUGUAACCUUAUACCUUCGUCUGUUCCAUACCAUUUCCAGUUCAGCCCGAUUAUGCAUGGCGCUCAUCUGCACACAUACGCAUAGACAAACAAGGCUGGGAUGGAGAGGGAGAGAGAGAGAGAGAGAGAGAGAAAACGCCAACCUGUUUCCAUUGUAUCACAAACAAUGCCCCAACUUUACUCACCCUCAGUUUCAAAGAACAAAAAUCUUCCUAACAAUAAUCACCCUUAUUCAUUGGACUACGCCCCGCAAAAGUUACCGAACUGUGGCGAAAGCUUUUCAAAGUUUACAGCGCAGUACACAGAAUGCGUUUACGUCGCAGUUAGCUAGCUGGUGCACUGAAAUUGUGUUAACGUUUCGCCAUUUUGUUUCUGGAGGAUUUUAUUUGGUAGAGGCGUUGCCAAUAUUUUCACCUUUCCUAAAUCUUCUCAGAGGAAACGACUUGUCUUCAUUUCUGCCAAUUUUUAUUCCUGUGUUGGAAAAUUAACAACAGAAAAGAUGGGUUUCAACAUCGUCGCAGCUCUUAUUGUAUUUCUUGGGAUGUGUGGAGCAGCCAACGCUGACCUCACGACACAAAUCUACACAUGGGGUGAGGUGUCCGCCGGCGUCGCCGGCGUCGUUGCCAUCCUGGUCGCGAUCCUCGGCAUCUCGAGAUGCGUCCACGAGUUCACCUGCCGCAACUACCAGAACGAACCCGAGGCCCUCCGAUCCAUCGCCAUCGGACGGGGAGAGAACACCAAGCUGUAGAGAGAUGGUGGGGGGUAAUACCCACCAGGGCGUGGUCACUUCAGGGGUGUGAGGGAGGGUCGAACAGGUGUAAGGGGGUGCAAGAUCGGAGGUCACUAUGCGCAGAUUGAUAUACGCUGUGCAACGAAUAAGUACGAGAUCAGGGCGCGGGGGGGGGGGGGGUGGCUUCUAUGCUCAUGAUAUCUGACAAUGGGAAAUCGGGGGGGGGGGCGGUCAAUAGGAGAGUGUGGCUGAAGGGGAAGAGACAAUGAAAGGGAGAUUCUAAAACUCGAAGGGUAAAAAUAUGUGAUUUACAAAGGGAUGGGUUAAAGGAUGUGGCGGACAGGGGGGGGGGGGGGGGGUUAAAGGCAAAGAAUGGGACAGUGGGCCGGGGGCUCUAUAAAUUAAAUUUGGAAGGGGUUCGUCAAUCAUCAUGAUGACAUGGGCCCAUGACGUCAUCAUAGCCGCUAUCGGGCAUUACCGGCUACAUGUACAAAAAGUACCAUGUCCGCCGAGAGAUUUACAUGUAAUUCAAGAAUUCAAUGGCGAACUGUCAAAAAGAAGGGGAAAAGGCGGUGCAUUAAUGUGAUGCAAAACACAAACAGAUAAACAUGACAAGUUUCUGCCUCACCCAUUGAUUUCAUGUGCUGAAACAGUAUCUCAUGAGGAUUAAAAAAAGUGUAUGAUUAUUUUGUAAUUUUCUUUCAUCCAAUCGUAUUCAACCGAUUGUUCAUGUACCGUGUGUGGGGUUAAGAUAUCCGUCAUUGUGCCUCAGUCACACGAACGAAACCGAUUCCAAACCGAUCGAUGCUAAUGUCAUUGGUAAGAAUGUAAUAGCUUUGAUCGGUCUGGAAUCGGUUUCAGGAGUGUGACUGCAGCACGAUGCUGGGUCACACCAACAUAACCGACUCCAAACCGAUCGAUGGUAUGUCAUUGGUAAUAACGUGAUAGUUUUGAUCGGUCUGGAGUCGGUUUCUGAAGUGUGACUGGGUCAUUCUAUUGUAUAUACUGCAUGUCUUGUAUGUCAUCUUUCAAAUAUCCAGUACUAGUAGAAAAAUGAGAGAAAAAUGUAGAUUUUAAAAUAGAUAUAUCUGUUGUAUUUGCACAUGUAGAAAUCUUUUUUAUUCACUUCUAGUCAUACAGAACACUAUGUCUUUUUAAGGUGUUUAUUAUGAUUAUUCAGAACGAAAUGUUUCGAACAAAGUUUUAUAUAAUUAUGUAUAGAGCUAUUUGAAAGUAAGUUCAUUUAUUUGAAUUUCAGGGAUCCAAAAUGCGUCUUUAUUUUGAUAUUUAACUCUGUCAUUGAAAUCAUGCUCUAUUUCGCAUUGCCUCCCGUCAUAAAGGUAUGCAAUAAUGAAUAAAAACAAUGUUCAAAGUCCCCUCAACUUGGAGGUUAUUACAAUUUUAACUUUGAUCAUAAAUCACGUCCAAUGUCACACCUAAAACUAUAUUUCCCCGUACGAAAGCAAGCUUGAGGCUUUUUAUAUCAUUGCCCCUAAAAUAUUAUGGUUUUAUUAUGAAGUAUAAAGAUUGAAAAUUUGAUAUUCAGCUCAAGUCAUGUAGAUUUGUGUUAAACAUGUUAAACGACCUGUGUUAUUGUUUAAUUUGUGUAGAAACUCCAUUUCGUUUUUUUAUUCAGUCUUUAUAUAGUGUUUUAUUCUUUCACUUACAUGUAUUAUAAGGAGAUUUAGGAGUGAGCUUUUUGGCUGAAAAUGAAUGGAAAGUAUAAUGAACAAAAAUUAGUUUGUAUCCUAACAUUUCUUCCAUCUACAUCGCGAUAAAUAAACUUGCACACAUCUUUCUUUAGAUAUUUAAAUGUUUAACAAAUUAAAGGAGUUCAUAAAAACAUGGUUGCCCAUACUUCAAUCAUUGUUAUUUCCCCAUUUCAAUGUAAAGUGAUAUUCGGAGUCUUUACUUUACAAGAACUGAUUUUUUAGAGUAUCGCCUUUCCUGAUUUUUCUUUUUUUCCCCUUGUAAUGUUGAAAUUUGUUACGUCAAUCGGUAGAUUAUACUUGCUGGAAAGAACGCGUUGUCAUGCUGUGUGUUCGUAAUGCGACACAGUGUCAUACAAUGUGUAUUCAGUGUGUUCACAGUGUGUACACACCGUUUGCAGCGCAACACAGUGUGUUCACAGUGUGUACACAUUUUUCGCAGUUUGUGUGUGUGUUUUGGCAGUGUGUUCACAAUUCCAGUGUUUUCAAAGUCUUACACAGUGAGUUUACAGUGUGUUCACUCUGUUCAGAGUCACACAGUGUUUGCAGUACGACACAGUGUGUCAGCAUGUUUGCUGUGUGUUCAGUGUCAUACAGUGCACGUGUACACAAUUUGUUCAAAGUAUGACACAGCGAGUGUAUACCGUGUUCACAGUGUCACGUAGUGAUUUUUUUUCAGAGUCACGCAUUGAGUUUACAGUAUGUUCACAGUGUGGGCUUUGUGAAGAUGUCUUUUACCCAGUUAAAAUGCACAAAUUCAAAUCAUCAUGCAGAUAAUCUCACACUUUGGUCACACCAACAGCGUGAUUGUUCACAGUGUGAACUACUUGAAGAUGUGAGUCACAGUGCUCAAGUGUUCAUAUGUAAUCACAGUGCAUGUGAAGAUAAUGUCACACUGCAUCUCACGCACUGUUAACACACUGCGUGACAUUGCGUUCUUCCCAGCACAGGGAUGAAGGUGGUUUUUUUUAGAUUUCAUUGUCCUUUUGUGCCAUUAAGUGUCUUUUAUAGAAUUUUUAAAAAGUAAUUAAACAUAAUUGUUGAUUAAAAUCUUUGAUGAAUUUUUAAUAUGAAA